CUUCGGGAAACCGGAGCUAAUACCGGAUAAUAUGUUGAACCGCAUGGUUCAAUAGUGAAAGACGGUUUUGCUGUCACUUAUAGAUGGAUCCGCGCCGCAUUAGCUAGUUGGUAAGGUAACGGCUUACCAAGGCAACGAUGCGUAGCCGACCUGAGAGGGUGAUCGGCCACACUGGAACUGAGACACGGUCCAG
rnacentral:rRNA from 1 species